rnacentral:misc_RNA from 1 species
GUAGGUGAACCUGCGGAAGGAUCAUUAUCACGUAUCCUUACGUUUACUACCAACCGUGAACCGUUGGCGGUCCGCAUGAUGUCAUGUUAUGUGUUGGAUCGCAAAAACCACCUCAAUGAAUUAAUUUUUGUUGGGGUGAUUUUUGAACCAUUAACCAAUUAAACCAUUUAUCAUUAAUAUUUUUUACUUAAAGUUGUUUCUUACCUUUGUUAACUCAGAGGAAGAAAUGUUAUAUACGUAACAUAAAAAA